UACGUAGGAGGCAAACGUUAUCCGGAUUUACUGGGCGUAAAGCGCGUGUAGGUGGUUCUGUAAGUAGGGCGUGAAAGCUCCCGGCUCAACUGGGAGAGGCCGUUCUAAACUGCAGAGCUAGAGGAUGGUAGAGGGAGGUGGAAUUCCGGGUGUAGCGGUGGAAUGCGCAGAUAUCCGGAGGAACACCAGUGGCGAAGGCGACCUCCUGGGCCACUCCUGACACUCAGACGCGAAAGCUAGGGUAGCAAACGGGAUUAGAUACCCCGGUAGUCCCUGAGCGGG
rnacentral:rRNA from 1 species